UUGAAGAGAUGAGUUGGACGCAGGGAGAGACCGGGGUGGGAGUCCCGAGGAGCAGCGAAGCAGCACGGGGUGUGACCGCUUGAUAGGAUACUCUGCUUUAGCCUCUCUCUCUUUUAACAAACAAACAAACAAAAAAUCGUGUACAACCGUUGUCACCGCUCAGCGCUGACAGUGUAAUACGCGGAGAACUUGUGAGCUGUCGACCUCGUCGAAAGCUCUGGAAUUGUCAGGAGAAAUUCAGAGAGUUUAAGGUGUGGCUGUCAGGCGUCUGCGUUAGAGAACCUUGCAAAACCAAAUGUUGGUCGUGGGAGCCUGGCCGUCCAGGGUUGGGCGCCCGCCCCUCCUUCUGGUCUUGCCACAAGCCGAGGCGUUUAAACGUGUUCGGUCAUUUUCUUCAACAUCUUACAUAACCAAACGUCUUGCCCACCUUGAACGUUCCGCUUCCUGACGACUUGAAACGCGCGUGGCAAUCUAAAUAAAUAGCACAGGAGGAGAUGGCUUAAUGCUUUUGAGUGCUCUUCUGGGCUUUUAACAAGACCUCCCGAAUGUAACGGACGUGGCAACUUUACAGUCGAGAGCCAGCCGCCACAGGCCAACUGGGCGUGGGGUGGAACCGGCCCGAACAGUACGAACCGUCCUCUCGUAUCAGCUGCGCAUAUUAGAAUCGUGUUGCCAAGUGGUGCAGUGGAACCGGUGGAUUUACCUCAAAGUGCCCACUGUGCAGACACUUGUUACUGACCAUUUUGAAUUUGCACCACAAGACCAGGACUUACUUCCAGGAGUUUACAAGGUGAUGGAUGAAAGAGAUGAGUCUGCUCUUCGCCGGCUAACGCCUUCUUCAGCAGAAUGCCCCCUCUGCAGUCAAAUUCCAGCCUGGCCUUUUGGGAGUCGGUGGGAAUCGUCCAGAGACUGCGCUAGUUGAGUGAGCAGGAGCACAUCUCCCAUACAGCAAUCGAACAUCCAUGCAUGAUGAGUCAAAGCUAUAUGGAGCUAAUAAUAAGUUACCACUCUUCAAACGAUUAAGCAAAUAUGGUUGCCUUUGAUUUACUGAAUUAAUGGCAUCCAGGUUUUGGUUUUCACACUUUCUAUGAGUGACCUAGAUAACAAACAGAGGCUGUUGUGCCUCGAGUGCGUGUUGUGUGUGUGUUGCGUGUGUGCGUGCGUGCGCGCACUCACACACAUGCGUGCAGACCCACGCCUUUUUAGAUAGAGCUAAAAGCUUUAGGGCACGGAAAUUUCUUCAGUUAGAGUACCCACCGUUUUCCAAUGAUACAGUUAGAGACCUAAAUGAAAUAACAUAGUUGGCUUAGUUCAGGACGUAACUUAUGGCUCUUAAUUUAUGAGGCUUUAGUAAGAUUUGGUCUCCUGCCGGCAUUGGAUGAGCUAUAUAAAGAUUAUUUUAGACUGCAGCACACACCGCUUUAGGGUAGUGUGUGUGCAGAGCCAGCGGUAAGGAGCAGUGGGCCUCUCAGCAGACAGGCUGGAAUGUGGACCAUAUGUAGCAGGCAUCCCAAGAAUGUAACUUGGCCUUGCAGAGCUGACCAACCUAAAGAUACACAGAGCCAAGGGGGACAAGGAGGAGGUAAAAGAUAAUGUCAAGAGAAAGCGGGUAAAAGCACAAAAAUAGAUUACCUUCUUGUCGGGAGUGGCGAGACAGGAAGAUGUAGUGAAGUCAAAUGUUGAAAAGGAAAAAUUUAAACUGAGACCAGUGCUUAAAAUCAUUCUCACCCUCAAAUGAAAUGAUUGUAUGUUUGUAAUUGUCUUUGCAAAGAGCACAGGCACGUCUGUGUCAUCACACGCCAUGACAAAAUGAUUAGUAGUUAAUUCAAACCGCUUGUCCUCUCUCCUUAUUGUGCUUGUGUUCCCACAGAUGCCUUAAUCGGUUAGUGACAGAAAAUUAAUGAGUUGUUUGUGAAGAUCCAUCUUGAUCACCGGGUUGUAUAUUACUGAAGGUGGUCCGUUCAUGACAAAAUAUAAUCUGCUCCUGAUGCUGCUUUUCCUUCUCAAAAAUGUCGUGUACCUGCUUCUGCUUUAUUGUGGACUUGCACGGCCAUCGUUACACUUGUCGCCUUCGACAUCAAGAAAGAGCAAAACACUUUUGUCGAGUUCAUUGUCACCGUGACUCAAAUCUUUUGUUUGAACUCCACAUUGUAGUAAUUUAGUAUGUAAUGAAUAAAUUGGCAAGAACGUUUCCCAUGUUCUUCCGGUAAGUGCGAAAACGACGGACCUGCAGGUUA